AAUAUAUCGGAACGUGCCCAGUCGUGGGGGAUAACGUAGAGAAAUUUACGCUAAUACCGCAUACGAUCUAAGGAUGAAAGCGGGGGAUCGCAAGACCUCGCGCGAUUGGAGCGGCUGAUAUCAGAUUAGGUUGUUGGUGAGGUAAAAGCUCACCAAGCCGACGAUCUGUAGCUGGUUUGAGAGAACGACCAGCCACACUGGGACUGAGACACGGCCCAGACUCCUACGGGAGGCAGCAGUGGGGAAUUUUGGACAAUGGGCGAAAGCCUGAUCCAGCAAUGCCGCGUGCAGGAAGAAGGCCUUCGGGUUGUAAACUGCUUCUGUACGGAACGAAACGGCUCUUUCUAAUAAAGAGGGCUAAUGACGGUACCGUAAGAAUAAGCACCGGCUAACUACGUGCCAGCAGCCGCGGUAAUACGUAGGGUGCGAGCGUUAAUCGGAAUUACUGGGCGUAAAGCGUGCGCAGGCGGUUAUGUAAGACAGUUGUGAAAUCCCCGGGCUCAACCUGGGAAUUGCAUCUGUGACUGCAUAGCUAGAGUACGGUAGAGGGGGAUGGAAUUCCGCGUGUAGCAGUGAAAUGCGUAGAUAUGCGGAGG
rnacentral:rRNA from 1 species